AACACAUGCAAGUCGAGGGGAAACGACAUCGAAAGCUUGCUUUUGAUGGGCGUCGACCGGCGCACGGGUGAGUAACGCGUAUCCAACCUGCCCACCACUUGGGGAUAACCUUGCGAAAGUAAGACUAAUACCCAAUGACGUCUCUAGAAGACAUCUGAAAGAGAUUAAAGAUUUAUCGGUGAUGGAUGGGGAUGCGUCUGAUUAGCUUGUUGGCGGGGUAACGGCCCACCAAGGCGACGAUCAGUAGGGGUUCUGAGAGGAAGGUCCCCCACAUUGGAACUGAGACACGGUCCAAACUCCUACGGGAGGCAGCAGUGAGGAAUAUUGGUCAAUGGGCGAGAGCCUGAGCCAGCCAAGUAGCGUGCAGGAUGACGGCCCUAUGGGUUGUAAACUGCUUUUAUAAGGGAAUAAAGUGAGCCUCGUGAGGCUUUUUGCAUGUACCUUAUGAAUAAGGACCGGCUAAUUCCGUGCCAGCAGCCGCGGUAAUACGGAAGGUCCGGGCGUUAUCCGGAUUUAUUGGGUUUAAAGGGAGCGUAGGCCGGAGAUUAAGCGUGUUGUGAAAUGUAGACGCUCAACGUCUGCACUGCAGCGCGAACUGGUUUCCUUGAGUACGCACAAAGUGGGCGGAAUUCGUGGUGUAGCGGUGAAAUGCUUAGAUAU
rnacentral:rRNA from 1 species